rnacentral:rRNA from 1 species
AGGGAAUAUUGCGCAAUGGACGGAAGUCUGACGCAGCGACGCCGCGUGAGCGAUGAAGGUCUUCGGAUCGUAAAGCUCUGUCCUUGGGGAAGAAGGUCUUCGGACUUGACGGUACCCAAGAAGAAAGCCCCGGCUAACUACGUGCCAGCAGCCGCGGUAAUACGUAGGGGGCGAGCGUUGUCCGGAAUUACUGGGCGUAAAGGGUGCGUAGGCGGCCCUUUAAGUCAGAUGUGAAAGGCCACGGCUUAACCGUGGGAUUGCAUUUGAAACUGGAGGGCUUGAGUGUCGGAGAGGGUAGUGGAAUUCCCAGUGUAGCGGUGAAAUGCGUAGAUAUUGGGAGGAACACCAGUGGCGAAGGCGACUACCUGGACGAUAACUGACGCUGAGGCACGAAAGCUAGGGGAGCAAAC